rnacentral:rRNA from 1 species
UACGAAGGGUGCAAACGUUGCUCGGAAUCAUUGGGCGUAAAGCGCACGUAGGCGGCUUCAAAAGUCGGAUGUGAAAUCCCGUGGCUCAACCAUGGACGUGCAUUCGAAACUGCGAAGCUUGAGUAUGGAAGAGGGUCGCGGAAUUCCCGGUGUAGAGGUGAAAUUCGUAGAUAUCGGGAGGAACACCAGUGGCGAAGGCGGCGACCUGGGCCAAUACUGACGCUGAGGCACGAAAGCGUGGGGAGCGAACGGG